GAUGAACGCUGGCGGCGUGCCUAAUACAUGCAAGUCGAGCGAACGGACGAGGAGCUUGCUUUUCUGAUGUUAGCGGCGGACGGGUGAGUAACACGUGGAUAACCGACCUAUAAGACUGGGAUAACUUCGGGAAACCGGAGCUAAUACCGGAUAAUAUUUUGAACCGCAUGGUUCAAAAGUGAAAGACGUUCUUGCUGUCACUUAUAGAUGUAUCCGCGCUGCAUUAGCUAGUUGGUAAGGUAACGGCUUACCAAGGCAACGAUGCGUAGCCGACCUGAGAGGGUGAUCGGCCACACUGGAACUGAGACACGGUCCAGACUCCUACGGGAGGCAGCAGUAGGGAAUCUUCCGCAAUGGGCGAAAGCCUGACGGAGCAACGCCGCGUGAGUGAUGAAGGUCUUCGGAUCGUAAAACUCUGUUAUUAGGGAAGAACAUAUGUGUAAGUAACUGUGCACAUCUUGACGGUACCUAAUCAGAAAGCCACGGCUAACUACGUG
rnacentral:rRNA from 1 species